UACGAAGGGGGCGAGCGUUGUUCGGAUUUACUGGGCGUAAAGGGCGCGUAGGCGGCACUGUUAGUCAGGCGUGAAAUUCCUGGGCUCAACCUGGGGACUGCGCUUGAUACGGCAGAGCUUGAGGAUGGAAGAGGGUCGCGGAAUUCCCAGUGUAGAGGUGAAAUUCGUAGAUAUUGGGAAGAACACCGGUGGCGAAGGCGGCGACCUGGUCCAUUACUGACGCUGAGGCGCGACAGCGUGGGGAGCAAACAGG
rnacentral:rRNA from 1 species